rnacentral:rRNA from 1 species
GUGGGGAAUCUUAGACAAUGGGCGCAAGCCUGAUCUAGCCAUGCCGCGUGAGUGAUGAAGGCCCUAGGGUUGUAAAGCUCUUUCAGCUGGGAAGAUAAUGACGGUACCAGCAGAAGAAGCCCCGGCUAACUCCGUGCCAGCAGCCGCGGUAAUACGGAGGGGGCUAGCGUUGUUCGGAAUUACUGGGCGUAAAGCGCGCGUAGGCGGACUGAAAAGUUGGGGGUGAAAUCCCGGGGCUCAACCUCGGAACUGCCUUCAAAACUAUCAGUCUGGAGUUCGAGAGAGGUGAGUGGAAUUCCGAGUGUAGAGGUGAAAUUCGUAGAUAUUCGGAAGAACACCAGUGGCGAAGGCGACUCACUGGCCCAAUACUGACGCUGAGGCGCGAAAGCGUGGGGAGCAAACAGGAUUAGAAACCCGUGUAGUCC